ACGAUAACGGCGUCGAGCGGCGGACGGGUGAGUAAUGCCUAGGAAAUUGCCCUGAUGUGGGGGAUAACCAUUGGAAACGAUGGCUAAUACCGCAUGAUGCCUACGGGCCAAAGAGGGGGACCUUCGGGCCUCUCGCGUCAGGAUAUGCCUAGGUGGGAUUAGCUAGUUGGUGAGGUAAGGGCUCACCAAGGCGACGAUCCCUAGCUGGUCUGAGAGGAUGAUCAGCCACACUGGAACUGAGACACGGUCCAGACUCCUACGGGAGGCAGCAGUGGGGAAUAUUGCACAAUGGGCGCAAGCCUGAUGCAGCCAUGCCGCGUGUGUGAAGAAGGCCUUCGGGUUGUAAAGU
rnacentral:rRNA from 1 species